GUUCUAGAUUCACAUUUUAUAUUUAUAUAUUUACAUCGAAAUUUAAAUUUUCUAUUAAAUUGCAUUCUAAUGAUUAGAAAUUAAUUAUAAAUUAUUAAUUAUUAUAAAUUAUUAUUCCAUACAAUUUAUUAAUUACUUCUAGAAUCACAUUUUUUAUUUACAUAUAAAUUUAAAUUUUCUAUUUAAUUUCAUUCUUAAUUGGGGUUUUUAACGGGAAAAUAUUUGGGAUCAUUCUGGGAUUUCCUUCCUGGAUUUUGGGGAUAAAAUCCCAGAUUUUGGGGGUAAAAUCCCGGAUUUUGGGGGUAAAAUCCCGGAUUUUGGGGGUAAAAUCCCGGAUUUUGGGAUAAAAUCCCGGAUUUUGGGGAUAAUUUUGGAAUUUUUGUUCUGGAUUUUGGGGAUAAUUUUGGGAAUUUUCCUGCUGGAUUUUGGGGAUAAUUUUGGGAAUUUCCCUGCUGGAUUUUGGGGAUAAUUUUGGGUUUUCCUGCUGGAUUUUAGGGAUAAUCCUGGAAGAGUUGGAUGGGGAGAAGGGAAUUCCUGCAGCCCCGGCCCCAUUUGGGGUUCAGGCCCCAUUUGGGGUUUGGGGUUCAGUUUUUCCCCAUUUGGGGUUUUUGGGUUCAGUUUUUCCCCAUUUGGGAUUUUUGGGUUCAGUUUUUCCCCAUUUGGGGUUUUUGGGGGUUCAGUUUUUCCCCAUUUGGGGUUCUCCAAGUCCCGCAGAUUCCCGUAGCUCGAUCCCGAGGAUUUCCGGGGAAAUCAUUAACCGGGAACGGGAUCGGCCGGGACCUUCGGACCCCGCGCCCGGACACACCCGGACACACCCGGGAACGAGAACGGGAUCGGCUGGGAACGGGAUCAUCCCAUGGGAACGGGAUCAUCCAUGGGAACGGGAUCAUCCCAUGGGAACGGGAUCAGCUGGGAACGGGAUCAUCCCAUGGGAACGGGAUCAUCCAUGGGAACGGGAUCAGCUGGGAACGGGAUCAUCCCAUGGGAACGGGAUCAUCCAUGGGAACGGGAUCAUCCAUGGGAACGGGAUCGGCUGGGAACGGGAUCAUCCCAUGGGAACGGGAUCAUCCAUGGGAACGGGAUCAGCUGGGAACGGGAUCAUCCCAUGGGAACGGGAUCAUCCAUGGGAACGGGAUCAGCUGGGAACGGGAUCAUCCUGAGGGAAUGGGAUCAUCCUAUGGGAACGGGAUCAUCCUAUGGGAACGGGAUCAUCCCAUGGGAACGGGAUCAUCCAUGGGAAUGGGAUCAUCCCAAGGGAACGGAAUCAUCCUGGGGGAAUGGGAUCAUCCCAUGGGAACGGGAUCAUCCAUGGGAAUGGGAUCAUCCCAUGGGAAUGGGAUCAUCCAUGGGAUUUGGGAUUGGGGUGGGAUUGGGAAACCCUGGGAUCCCAUCCCAAGGAAUUCCGGGAUCCAGGAGGCUCAGGAUCCAUCCCGAGGGAUUUUUAUGGAAUUUGGGAAAGGAAAUCCA
rnacentral:lncRNA from 1 species